rnacentral:tRNA from 1 species
GCCUUCGUGGUGUAACGGUAGCAUCCUGGGCCUGUAUUCCAGAGGUCCGUGGUUCGAUUCCCGGCGAAGGCG